GCAGUCGAACGGACUCAUAUUGAAACCUAGUGAUUUAUGAGUUAGUGGCGGACGCGUUGAGUAACGCGUGGAUAACCUGCCGUAUACCGGGGGAUAACACUUAGAAAUAGGUGCUAAUACCGCAUAAGCGCACGGCUCCGCAUGGGGCAGUGUGAAAAACUCCGGUGGUAUACGAUGGAUCCGCGUCUGAUUAGCUAGUUGGCGGGGUAACGGCCCACCAAGGCAGCGAUCAGUAGCCGGCCUGAGAGGGUGGACGGCCACAUUGGGACUGAGACACGGCCCAAACUCCUACGGGAGGCAGCAGUGGGGAAUAUUGCACAAUGGGGGAAACCCUGAUGCAGCGACGCCGCGUGAGUGAAGAAGUAUCUCGGUACGUAAAGCUCUAUCAGCAGGGAAGAAAAUGACGGUACCUGACUAAGAAGCCCCGGCUAACUACGUGCCAGCAGCCGCGGUAAUACGUAGGGGGCAAGCGUUAUCCGGAUUUACUGGGUGUAAAGGGAGCGUAGACGGCAGCACAAGUCUGGAGUGAAAUCCCGGGGCUUAACCCCGGAACUGCUUUGGAAACUGUGCGGCUGGAGUGCAGGAGGGGUAAGCGGAAUUCCUAGUGUAGCGGUGAAAUGCGUAGAUAUUAGGAGGAACACCGGUGGCGAAGGCGGCCUACUGGACUGUAACUGACGUUGAGGCUCGAAAGCGUGGGGAGCAAACAGGAUUAGAUACCCUGGUAGUCCACGCCGUAAACGAUGAUUACUAGGUGUCGGGGGACCAAGGUCCUCCGG
rnacentral:rRNA from 1 species